GGCAGAGGUGCCAAGCGUUAGGCGGAAUCACUGGGCUUAAAGCGUGUGUAGGCGGAUCGUUAAGUACCUUGUGAAAUCCCACGGCUUAACCGUGGAACUGCUCGGUAUACUGGCGGUCUUGAGCAACCUAGGGGCGAGCGGAACAAAUGGUGGAGCGGUGAAAUGCGUAGAUAUCAUUUGGAACGCCAAUGGUGAAAACAGCUCGCUGGGGGUUUGCUGACGCUGAGACACGAAAGCCAGGGGAGCAAACGGG
rnacentral:rRNA from 1 species